rnacentral:tRNA from 1 species
CCCCUGGUGGCUCAGAUGGUAAAGAAUCUGCCUGCAAAGCUGGUGACCCAGGUUCGACCCCUGGGUGGGGAA